CGAGAAAGUGGAGCAAUCCAUGAGUAANNUGGCGCACGGGUGAGUAACACGUGACUAACCUACCCUCGAGUGGGGAAUAACUUCGGGAAACCGAGGCUAAUACCGCAUAACAUCUACGGAUCAAAUGCGUAAGCAGCUUGAGGAGGGGGUCGCGGCUGAUUAGCUAGUUGGCGGGGUAACGGCCCACCAAGGCAAUGAUCAGUAGCCGGCCUGAGAGGGCGCACGGCCACACUGGAACUGAAACACGGUCCAGACUCCUACGGGAGGCAGCAGUGGGGAAUUUUGCGCAAUGGGGGAAACCCUGACGCAGCAACGCCGCGUGGAGGAUGAAGCCCCUUGGGGUGUAAACUCCUUUCGAUCGGGACGAUUAUGACGGUACCGGAUGAAGAAGCACCGGCUAACUCUGUGCCAGCAGCCGCGGUAAUACAGAGGGUGCAAGCGUUGUUCGGAAUUAUUGGGCGUAAAGGGUGCGUAGGCGGUGCGGUAAGUCUUCUGUGAAAUCUCCGGGCUCAACCCGGAGCCUGCAGGGGAAACUGCCGUGCUGGAGUAUGGGAGAGGUGAGUGGAAAUUCCCGGUGUAGCGGUGAAAUGCGUAGAUAUC
rnacentral:rRNA from 1 species